ensembl:lncRNA
AGCAGAUGCGCUUCUGCUGGGAGGCUGAAGCACGCACCUCUGCAGCGGUGAGGACUGACCGUCUCUGGAGGACGACCGUGGCGGGGAUGCAGUCAGAAGAGGCAGCCGCCUCGUUCCGAUGGUCGAGCUUUCAGGGCUGGAGACGUGUGAGCUGAAAUGUCUCACACUGAACUCUCGAUCCGGACAGGGACUGCAUUCCUCUUGUUCAUCUUGUAUCCUCAGCACAGUGCCAGACCCGCAGCGGAUGCUGAAUAAAUGCGUACUAACAGGAGUACAUCAUGAGAAACGCUGGGCUGGAAGAAGCACAAGCUGGAAUCAAGAUUGCCAGGAGAACUAUCAAUAACCUCAGGACGGAUCCAGUCUCCAUUUCCUAAGAUAACUUUUUGUCAUCAUGACCUUCCCCAUUGAUCCUGCCUGGGAAGACUCAGACCAGCCUCUCCGCAGAAGCCUGAUCCCUGACUACGGUGCUCUCUUGGGUGGGACGACAGCUAAGGAGAAGGCGCAGAAGGCAAAGUUAAUGAUAUUUCACUUUAGAGAAAAUACGGCUGUGAAUUAAGACAGAUACUAUUGUAGGAGAGGUGGGAGAAGGAAAUGGCGACCUACUCCAGUGUUCUUGCCUGGGAAAUCCCAGGACAGAGGAGCCUGAGGGCCACAGUCCAUGGGAGGUAGGGGGGUGUCACAAAGAGUCAGACACGACUCAGCAGCUAAACCACAAAACUGAGAGAACAGAGACGUGGAGAGUUUGUCACUUCCAUAUAGAUCACGGGCUUUAUUUUGUGGUUUGGGGGAAUAUUUGAUUUGACUAUACAAAACCACUUUUUUGCUGUUGUACUAUUUAAUGUUUAUAGAUCAUUGCAGACAGAAAAGAUCACUUAAAAGCUGUUUACUGUGUGCCUGUUUGCUUUGCACUCAGAUUUGAAAAUAAAAAAUAAACAAGGUAU